GAGGGCGAGAGGUUAAGGCGAUGGACUUGAAAUCCAUUGGGGGUUUCUCUGCGCAGGUUCAAAUCCUGUCGCCUCCA
rnacentral:tRNA from 1 species